GACGAACGCUGGCGGCGUGCUUAACACAUGCAAGUCGAACGGAAAGGCCCUGCUUUUGUGGGGUGCUCGAGUGGCGAACGGGUGAGUAACACGUGAGUAACCUGCCCUUGACUUUGGGAUAACUUCAGGAAACUGGGGCUAAUACCGGAUAGGAGCUCCUGCUGCAUGGUGGGGGUUGGAAAGUUUCGGCGGUUGGGGAUGGACUCGCGGCUUAUCAGCUUGUUGGUGGGGUAGUGGCUUACCAAGGCUUUGAGGGGUAGCCGGCCUGAGAGGGUGACCGGCCACCUGGGGACUGAGAUACGGCCCAGACUCCUACGGGAGGCAGCAGUGGAGAAUAUUGCACAGUGGGUGGAAGCCUGAUGCGGCAACGCCGCGUGCGGGAUGACGGCCUUCGGGUUGUGAACCGCUUUCGCCUGUGACGAGGCGUGAGUGACGGUAAUGGGUAAAGAAGCACCGGCUAACUACGUG
rnacentral:rRNA from 1 species